rnacentral:rRNA from 1 species
ACGCACGCUGGCGGCGUGCUUAACACAUGCAAGUCGAACGGGCCCGCUCUCUUUUUUGGGGGUGGGUUGGGUGGCGAACGGGUGAGUAUCACGUGAGUAACCUGCCCCCUGCUCCUGGAUAACUGCUUGAAAGGGCGGCUAAUACGGGGUGUGCCGGCUGGUCCGCAUGGGCCUGGUCGGGAUAGUUUCAUCUUCGGGUGUUUCGGUGGGGGAUGGGCUCGCGGCCUAUCAGCUUGUUGGUGGGGUGAUGGCCCACCAAGGCGGUGACGGGUAGCCGGCCUGAGAGGGUGGGCGGCCACACUGGGACUGAGACACGGCCCAGACUCCUGCGGGAGGCAGCAGUGGGGGGUAUUGCACAAUGGGCGGAAGCCUGAUGCAGCGACGUCGCGUGAGGGAUGGAGGCCUUCGGGUUGUGAACCUCUUUCUCCGGUGGUGAAGGCCCUGUCCGUUGCGGCGGGGUUGACGGUAGCCGGGUAUGAAGCGCCGGCUAACUACGUG